rnacentral:rRNA from 1 species
UAUUUGACGUUACCUACAGAAGAAGCACCGGCUAACUCCGUGCCAGCAGCCGCGGUAAUACGGAGGGUGCGAGCGUUAAUCGGAAUUACUGGGCGUAAAAGCGCAUGCAGGCGGCCUGUUAAGUCAGAUGUGAAAGCCCGGGGCUUAACCUCGGAAUUGCAUUUGAAACUGGCAGGCUAGAGUCUUGUAGGAGGGGGUAGAAUUUCAGGUGUAGCGGUGAAAUGCGUAGAGAUCUGAAGGAAUACCAGUGGCGAAGGCCGGCCCCCUGGACAAAGACUGACGCUCAGAUGCGAAAGCGUGGGGAGCAAACAGGAUUAGAUACCCCUGGUAG